GGGCGUAUAGCUCAGCUGGUUAGAGCGCUGCCCUCACAUGGCAGAGGCCGAGGGUUCGAGUCCUUCUAUGCCCACCA
rnacentral:tRNA from 1 species